UACGGAGGGUGCGAGCGUUGUCCGGAAUCAUUGGGCGUAAAGGGCGCGUAGGUGGCCUGCUAAGCGUGCGGUGAAAGUCGGGGGCUCAACCCCCGAUCGGCCGUGCGAACUGGGAGGCUUGAGCACUGUAGAGGCAGGCGGAAUUCCGGGUGUAGCGGUGGAAUGCGUAGAGAUCCGGAAGAACACCAGUGGCGAAGGCGGCCCGCUGGGCAGUGGCUGACGCUGAGGCGCGACAGCGUGGGGAGCAAACAGG
rnacentral:rRNA from 1 species